rnacentral:rRNA from 1 species
AUGAGGACGACGAAGGGGCGAGAAGAGAGCCGUGUCACUGACGCGGCGGGCCCGCGGCUUUUUCGCGCCAAAAAAGUUCGCCUGGCGCCCCCGGGCGCCCCAGCGCGCCGGGUUCGGCCUGUGUCCGCCGGCGCUGUUUUCGGCUCAGGCCAGCGAAAAUCGGGCUCCUGGGGACGCGACUGGACCGAUUUUUCGGCGCCGGCGCAAGAAAAACGCCUGGGGAGACCUUCCUGGGGCGCGGCUGGAGAUGCCCUAAGUACACAUGCACGCCUACUGGCCCUGGCCCUUGCGGCUUACAUGUGGACCCACACACACACGCUUGGCAUGACAACUGGCCAUGCCAACUGGCAGUCACGCGGUGGUACGCAGCACCGUUGUGACACUUUGACCACAUGA